rnacentral:rRNA from 1 species
UGUGGUUACAAUAGCAAGGAGGAUACACCUGUUCCCAUUCCGAACACAGAAGUUAA